rnacentral:rRNA from 1 species
UACGUAGGGGGCAAGCGUUGUCCGGAAUUAUUGGGCGUAAAGAGCGUGUAGGCGGCCAGAUAAGUCCGCUGUGAAAUCUCGAGGCUCAACUUCGAGCUGUCGGUGGAAACUAUCUGGCUAGAGUCCGGAAGAGGAGAGUGGAAUUCCUGGUGUAGCGGUGAAAUGCGCAGAUAUCAGGAGGAACACCGGUGGCGAAGGCGGGUCUCUGGGCCGUAACUGACGCUGAGGAGCGAAAGCGUGGGGAGCGAACAGG